CUUUACUGUACCUUUGUUGCUUCGGCGGGCCCGCCAUUCAUGGCCGCCUGGGGCUCUCAGCCCCGGGCCCGCGCCCGCCGGAGACACCACGAAAUCUGUCUGAUCUAGUGAAGUCUGAGUUUAUUGUAUCGCAAUCAGUAAAACUUUCACCAAUGGAUCUCUUGGUUCCGGCAUCGAUGAAGAACGCAGCAAAAUGCGAUAACUAGUGUGAAUUGCAGAAUUCCGUGAAUCAUCGAUUCUUUGAACGCACAUUGCGUCCCCUGGUAUUCCGGGGGGCAUGCCUGUCCGAGCGCCAUUGCUGCCCAUCAAGCACGGCUUGUGUGUUGGGUCGUCGUCCCCUUUCCGGGGGGGACGGGCCCCAAAGGCAGCGGCGGCACCGGGUCCGAUCCUCGAGCGUAUGGGGCUUUGUCACCCGCUCUGUAGGCCCGGCCGGCGCUUGCCGAACGCAAAUCAUUCUUUUUCGAGGUUGACCUCGGAUCAGGU
rnacentral:sRNA from 1 species